AGAGUUUGAUCCUGGCUCAGGAUGAACGCUGGCGGCGUGCCUAACACAUGCAAGUCGAGCGAUUCUCUUCGGAGAAGAGCGGCGGACGGGUGAGUAACGCGUGGGUAACCUGCCCUGUACACACGGAUAACAUACCGAAAGGUAUGCUAAUACGGGAUAACACAAGAAAUUCGCAUGUUUUUCUUAUCAAAGCUCCGGCGGUACAGGAUGGACCCGCGUCUGAUUAGCUAGUUGGUGAGGUAACGGCUCACCAAGGCGACGAUCAGUAGCCGACCUGAGAGGGUGAUCGGCCACAUUGGAACUGGGGCACGGUCCAAACUCCUACGGGAGGCAGCAGUGGGGAAUAUUGCACAAUGGGCGAAAGCCUGAUGCAGCAACGCCGCGUGAGCGAUGAAGGCCUUCGGGUCGUAAAGCUCUGUCCUCAAGGAAGAUAAUGACGGUACUUGAGGAGGAAGCCCCGGCUAACUACGUGCCAGCAGCCGCGGUAAUACGUAGGGGGCUAGCGUUAUCCGGAUUUACUGGGCGUAAAGGGUGCGUAGGCGGUCUUUUAAGUCAGGAGUGAAAGGCUACGGCUCAACCGUAGUAAGCUCUUGAAACUGGAGGACUUGAGUGCAGGAGAGGAGAGUGGAAUUCCUAGUGUAGCGGUGAAAUGCGUAGAUAUUAGGAGGAACACCAGUAGCGAAGGCGGCUCUCUGGACUGUAACUGACGCUGAGGCACGAAAGCGUGGGGAGCAAACAGGAUUAGAUACCCUGGUAGUCCACGCCGUAAACGAUGAGUACUAGCUGUCGGAGGUUACCCCCUUCGGUGGCGCAGCUAACGCAUUAAGUACUCCGCCUGGGGAGUACGCUCGCAAGAGUGAAACUCAAAGGAAUUGACGGGGAUCCGCACAAGUAGCGGAGCAUGUGGUUUAAUUCGAAGCAACGCGAAGAACCUUACCUAAGCUUGACAUCCUUUUGACCGAUGCCUAAUCGCAUCUUUCCCUUCGGGGACAGAAGUGACAGGUGGUGCAUGGUUGUCGUCAGCUCGUGUCGUGAGAUGUUGGGUUAAGUCCCGCAACGAGCGCAACCCUUGCCUUUAGUUGCCAUCAUUAAGUUGGGCACUCUAGAGGGACUGCCAGGGAUAACCUGGAGGAAGGUGGGGAUGACGUCAAAUCAUCAUGCCCCUUAUGCUUAGGGCUACACACGUGCUACAAUGGGUGGUACAGAGGGCAGCGAAGUCGUGAGGCCAAGCUAAUCCCUUAAAGCCAUUCUCAGUUCGGAUUGUAGGCUGAAACUCGCCUACAUGAAGCUGGAGUUACUAGUAAUCGCAGAUCAGAAUGCUGCGGUGAAUGCGUUCCCGGGUCUUGUACACACCGCCCGUCACACCAUGGGAGUUGGGGGCGCCCGAAGCCGGCUAGCUAACCUUUUGGAAGCGGUCGUCGAAGGUGAAACCAAUAACUGGGGUGAAGUCGUAACAAGGUA
rnacentral:rRNA from 1 species